UAAUACGGAGGGGGCCAGCGUUGUUCGGAAUUAUUGGGCGUAAAGGGCGCGUAGGCGGCUCGGUAAGUCGGCUGUGAAAGCCCUCGGCUCAACCGAGGAAUUGCGGCCGAUACUGCCGGGCUUGAGUCCCGGAGAGGGUAGCGGAAUUCCCAGUGUAGCGGUGAAAUGCGUAGAUAUUGGGAGGAACACCAGUGGCGAAGGCGGCUACCUGGACGGGUACUGACGCUGAUGUGCGAAAGCGUGGGGAGCAAACAGGAUUAGAUACCCUGGUAGUCCACGCUGUAAACGAUGGGUACUUGGUGUUGCGGGUAUCGACCCCUGCAGUGCCGAAGCUAACGCAUUAAGUACCCCGCCUGGGGAGUACGGUCGCAAGGCUG
rnacentral:rRNA from 1 species